UCUUUGAAAGAUGAUCAUAGGCUGGCCCAUCGGAACUUAACUCGCCUUGUUUGAAGAUGAAGGAAUGCGAUUCUCAAAUCUUGAGCAUUCUCGAGGAGGAACUCAAAGAACAAAGUAAAUUUAUCCUGGUGCUAGCAAACCAUGCAAGGAUGUGUAGGCAAGUCCCUUGAGGACUUUGAUCCAAGAAUGCGACACUAGUAUUGGGAAAAAUUGUAACUUAGGCUUGUUGAAUGACAGACUCACUGCGCUACCCAAAAGAGGAUUUUUCUUCUACAUUCUUCUAAGUGUUUGCUUCUCAAGGAGUAUACUAAUUGUGGGAAAAAUGCAAUUUGGUUUUCCAUAUUGAAAUGUUAAUUUGCUAGUUUGAAAAGAAUUGAUUAAUUCUUGGUGUAGUAUUUUAGUUGGCCUUGUAACUUUCUAGCCCUUCAUUAGUUAGGCUUUUCAAUUUUGACUUUAUUGGUUUUGUUGUGGAUAUUCGAUUUGACUAUAUAAUUAUUAUAUUCAUUGACCUUGUAAAUAA